AGUGAACGCUGGCGGUAGGCCUAACACAUGCAAGUCGAACGGCAGCACAGUAAGAGCUUGCUCUUACGGGUGGCGAGUGGCGGACGGGUGAGGAAUACAUCGGAAUCUACUUUUUCGUGGGGGAUAACGUAGGGAAACUUACGCUAAUACCGCAUACGACCUACGGGUGAAAGCAGGGGAUCUUCGGACCUUGCGCGAUUGAAUGAGCCGAUGUCGGAUUAGCUAGUUGGCGGGGUAAAGGCCCACCAAGGCGACGAUCCGUAGCUGGUCUGAGAGGAUGAUCAGCCACACUGGAGCUGAGACACGGUCCAGACUCCUACGGGAGGCAGCAGUGGGGAAUAUUGGACAAUGGGCGCAAUCCUGAUCCAGCCAUACCGCGUGGGUGAAGAAGGCCUUCGGGUUGUAAAGCCCUUUUGUUGGGAAAGAAAAGCAGCAGGUUAAUACCCCGCUGUUCUGACGGUACCCAAAGAAUAAGCACCGGCUAACUUCGUG
rnacentral:rRNA from 1 species